GCGGUGGAGCAUGUGGUUAAUUCGAAGCAACGCGAAGAACCUUACCAGGUCUUGACAUCCCUGACAACCCGAGAGAUCGGGCGUUCCCCGUCGGGGGACAGGGUGACAGGUGGUGCAUGGUUGUCGUCAGCUCGUGUCGUGAGAUGUUGGGUUAAGUCCCGCAACGAGCGCAACCCUCGACCUUAGUUGCCAGCAUUCAGUUGGGCACUCUAAGGUGACUGCCGGCUAAAAGUCGGAGGAAGGUGGGGAUGACGUCAAAUCAUCAUGCCCCUUAUGACCUGGGCUACACACGUGCUACAAUGGGCGGUACAAAGGGUCGCGAACCCGCGAGGGGGAGCCAAUCCCAAAAAGCCGCUCUCAGUUCGGAUUGCAGGCUGCAACUCGCCUGCAUGAAGCCGGAAUCGCUAGUAAUCGCGGAUCAGCAUGCCGCGGUGAAUACGUUCCCGGGCCUU
rnacentral:rRNA from 1 species